GCUGCCGCCGACGACAGCGGCCGAGAGAAGUUGGGGUCUGACUAGACGCUUACGGGGCCCCGGACCCCGGCGCCGCGGCGACCUCGGAGGAACCGGCUCCUUGCGUCCCGCCUCCCUGGGAGCUCCGCACGGCAAACUCCAUUGCUGCUACUGCGUUUAAAGAACUGUGGCUAACCUCCAAGAGACUGAAGCUGGUAAUUGAUUUGCAGAUUUACAGAAUGGCUGCACAUUAAUGGAAAGAGAAGCAUAAACCUAUCUUCUUUCAUUAU
rnacentral:sRNA from 1 species